CCGGCACAGGGAAUGGCACUGGAAGAAUUCACGGGCUUUUGAAAAGACUCGCCCGUGUUCUCUUAGUGGCAUCACUGGUGCCAG
rnacentral:pre_miRNA from 1 species